rnacentral:rRNA from 1 species
GAUGAACGCUAGCUACAGGCUUAACACAUGCAAGUCGAGGGACCGGCGCACGGGAGAGUAACACGUAUCCAACCUGCCCUUUACUCGCGGAUAGCCUUUCAAAGGAAAGAUUAAUACCAGAUAUAAACGAUAGGGAUGCGUUCCAUUAGGUUGUUGGUGAGGUAUCGACACACCAAGCCUUCGAUGGAUAGGGGUUCUGGGAGGAAGGUCCCCAACAUUUGAACAGAGACACGAUCCAAACUCCUACCGGAAGCAGCAGUGAGGAAUAUUGGUCAAUGGGCGUUAGCCUGAACCAGCCAAGUAGCGUGAAGGAUGAAGGCUUAUGGGUCGUAAACUUCUUUUAUAUCAGAAUAGGUAUUAUAUGAAUAAGCAACGGCUAACUCCGUGCCAGCGGCCGCGGUAAUAC